rnacentral:lncRNA from 10 species
GAGGGUCAUCAAAAGCUAAGAAGGAGACAAAGAAAAAUGGCGACUAAAUGCAAUGUGGUGUCCUGGGUGGGAUCCUGGAACAGAAAAAUGACAUUAGUGGAAAAACUGGUGACAUUCAAAUAAAGUCUGGGAUUUAGUUAAUUGUAGUGCACCAAUGACAGUUUCUUAAUUUUGACAAAGGUACUCAAGUCACGUAAGAUGUUAACCAUGGGGAAAUUGGGUAAGGGGUUAAAAAAAUAAACACUGAGGAGAAAUUUGGAUAAUUUUUAUGUUGUGAAGAAACCCUUCAAAAAAGCAUAAGGAUGUGGGUUUUGUUUUGUUUUGUUUUUAAGAGGAUGUGAUUCCAGGAUCACUUCUGUUUCCUCCCCAGUCCAGAUGCCAUCUCUUAGGUCAAGACUGUGAGGCAAGCAUUUUCCAAGGGAACCACAUGCUCGGUGUCCACAUUCUUCCUAUCUCAGAAUGGUUAGAAACAGAUGUUUCCACACAAGAAUUUCAGCACAGAGUCGGUUUCCCUGCUGAGAAACACACCCACGCUCAUGUGUAUUUGUUAAUUUCUUCCCAACACAUAGCUUUCGAUUGUAGCAAUAGUUUUCCAACCACAAACAUAUGAAGUCCUGGCCUCAGUGGCCUCCCAGAAGUGCAUAUUAUUAUCAGGAAAGCUUGGCCAGUCCCCUAGAUGAAGAAAGAUGUGAAUUUCACUUCCUGACAUUUUCAGUGUGAGUGAACCCAGGUAAGCAUGUGUCCCUGACCUCAAAUAUGGUUUUUCCAUUUAUUUUGGAUGGCCACUGCUGAAAAGUAUCCUGCUGAAGGGGUAGGUCCAAAUCAAUCUGGUAAGCAUAUUGCAGAGGAACUAAAAUGAACCCCUUUCUAGUGUGACCACCAGAUCGUCAGAGAAUGUGUUCAGCAUGACAUCUCCUAAUUGUGGCUUUUUCCUGCAACUAGGGAGAGGCCAAGCAUAGUUUUUUGAGGAGUGAAACUUCCAGCAGCAAACCGCUUGGAUAAUUACUCAAGGUUUUCCCUACAGUAUUUUCUAAGGCAAUGUUUGAUUUUCAGUGAACCAUCAGAAGGUGAAGUGGAAGUUUUCCUUUGGACCCUGCAGAAGCAAAUAUGAGAAUCCAACUGCUUCUAUUUAGGCAGGCACUGAAGAGAUAGCAAAAUGGGUCUUGUGAAAACGCAGAUUCUGAUACUACAGGACUUGGGUGAGGCCCAAGAAUCAGCAUUUCUCACACGCUGCUCACAGCUGCCAGAGGAUGCUGAUGCUGCUGAUGCUGCUGGUCUGUGGCCCAUGCUUUGAAGAGCACAUUCUGUGGCCAGGCAUGGGUGAGGUGCUUGGCUUUUCAAAAUCUCCUGGAAUUCUCACAAAAUCCAGCAAGGCUGGUAUUAUCUGUAUGUGAUACAGAAAGAAAUGUGGACUCAGAGAGGUCAGGAGAGUGCCCGAUGUCACACAGCUAGAAUCUGAACUCCGGAGUAUCUGGGUCCUCAGCAAGUGUAGAAUGAAUGAAAUGAGUGCCUCUCAGAAUGGAAUCCCCAGUCCAGUGGCAUCAGCAUCACCUGAGAACGUGUUGGAAUUGCAAAUUCUCGGGCCCCAUCUCAGAUCUAUUCAGUGAGAAACUUCGGAGGGGCACCCCCUCCCCAAUCUAUAGAGUAUACAAGUCACCCCCUCAGGUGAUCCUGGUGAAUGUUCAACUGUGAGAAUCACUGAGUCAGACCAUUGCUUUCAGACUUCCACGUGCACAUAAAUCACCUGGGGAUCUUGUUAAAAUGCAGAUUCUGAUUCAGCAGGCACGGGGUAUGGCAUGAAACUGCAUUUUCCACGAACUUCCAGAUGAUGCUGAUACCGCUGGUCCAAGAUCACACUUUGAGUAGCAAGGAAUUGGAUGAUCUUGCCCUCUAGUUGGAUGACUGUUGGGUUAUCUGUGGGUACUAUUCUUCACAUGCAGAUGGAGGUGGGAGAAGGAAGCAGAGAAUAUUCCGAAAUUUAAGUGCAGAACCAGCUGAAACCAGAAAACUUCAAAUUCAACCUAAAAGGUCUGGGAUAAGCAAUAAUACAAUUAAAAAAACACCAAAAGACAAGAUAUGCAGUUGCUUCAAAUAGAAAAUUCUGUUGAGGUCAGCAUUGCCCUCAGAAAGUGGAGGUAUUUUUUCUGCAAAGACCUCAUUUUCUGGGAUUCACAGCCUCACUCCAUCUUUUCUCUGGGAGUGACCCUAUCAGUUCAUCUUCUCUCUGAAAUAGUAUAUGCAACCAGCUGGUUUGCUGUAAUGAAAUAAUUCCUGGGCCCCAAAGAACAUGCAGCUCCACGGAGUUCCAAGUUCAAGUCUAUUAUUCACUUCAGUACAGAGGAGUAACAGUCAAACUGGCAGUAUGUCACUUGCAGUGUGAUUCCAAGGUAUGCUGAGAAAUGUGCUUGGCUUGGUGUGACCUGGUUUGGCUUGUCCUCCUCACUGUCACAUGAAGCCAACAUAGCCAGAAUCCAUAAGAUACUUUACCCCAAGAAAGCCCUUUCUCUCUUGCAGAGAUAAGGGGGCCUUAUCCUAUGCACUUCAGUUGAUAUUUUUCCAGCCAAUGCCGGAUUUUCCCUCUGGACUUGCUGUACUUCUAAAACCUGUUUACUUUGCAACCCCAAGCCAAAAACUUUGCAAAAUCAGGCAUAGUAAAUAACACAAACCUGAUUUUACUAUGACCUCCCUCUUUUGGACAUUAAUCACUAUUUACCUUGAAUUUUCUCUUUGCUUAAAUGGCUGCCCACUGUACUGUGUCAACUGGUAAUUCUGCGAGAUCAAAGGGAAGAGGAGAAAGCCGUCAUUUUAUAUUUGGGUAGAUUUGCAGUAUGAAAACAUGGCUAAUCCAGCAUGCUAUCCUGAGGCCCAAAAACAUAAGAUGAGGAUAAGAGAGGUAGUUUGGGGCGAGCCACUCAUAGGACAUUUUGUUGCCCAUCUCAGGGGAGGUUCCUAGUUCAUUACUCCUGGGUGUUAGGUGCCUGGCAGUUGGGAAUCAGGUGUAAUUAACCUUUGUUUUCUCUUUUGACUUGGUACAGUGCCUUAGACAUACCUGGUAGGCACUUAAUAAAUGUUUAUUAAUAAGCUAAUUUCCCUAGAUCACAUUUUUUUCCUGUUUUAUUUUUAUUUUUUUCUACUUUUGCUUUUAGAGAUCACAUUUUUAUAUCUGAAUUAUUACUUACCCAAUUUAACACUAAUAUUUAUAUGAUGCUUUGAAUUGAGGUAUUCACUAGCACUAAAUAAUAUUUCAUUGCCUGGAUGUAUCAAUUUAUCUAUUCACCCACUGAAGGACAUCUUGAUUGCUACCAAUUUCAGCAAUUAUGAAUAAAGCCGUCAUAAACAACUGUAAAAAAUAAAAUAAAUUGAAGCAUUUGCUAAU